rnacentral:rRNA from 1 species
UAAUACAUCGGAACGUACCCAGAAGUGGGGGAUAACGUAGCGAAAGUUACGCUAAUACCGCAUACGUUCUACGGAAGAAAGUGGGGGAUCUUCGGGCCUCAUGCUUUUGGAGCGGCCGAUGUCUGAUUAGCUAGUUGGUGAGGUAAAGGCCCACCAAGGCGACGAUCAGUAGCUGGUCUGAGAGGACGACCAGCCACACUGGGACUGAGACACGGCCCAGACUCCUACGGGAGGCAGCAGUGGGGAAUUUUGGACAAUGGGCGCAAGCCUGAUCCAGCAAUGCCGCGUGAGUGAAGAAGGCCUUCGGGUUGUAAAGCUCUUUUGUCAGGGAAGAAACGGCCAGAGCUAAUAUCUUUGGCUAAUGACGGUACCUGAAGAAUAAGCACCGGCUAACUACGUGCCAGCAGCCGCGGUAAUACGUAGGGUGCAAGCGUUAAUCGGAAUUACUGGGCGUAAAGCGUGCGCAGGCGGUUUUGUAAGUCUGACGUGAAAUCCCCGGGCUCAACCUGGGAAUUGCGUUGGAGACUGCAAGGCUAGAAUCUGGCAGAGGGGGGUAGAAUUCCAC